AUUGAACGCUGGCGGCAGGCCUAACACAUGCAAGUCGAGCGAGCGGCGGACGGGUGAGUAAUGUAUGGGGACUGCCCGAUAGAGGGGGAUAACUACUGGAAACGGUAGCUAAUACCGCAUACUAUCGGAUAACCCAUAUGGGUUAAGCGGGUGGGGGGGGUAAUGGCUCACCUAGGCGACGACCCCUAGCUGGUCUGAGAGGAUGAUCAGCCACACUGGGACUGAGACACGGCCCAGACGCCUACGGGGGAAGCAGUGGGGAAUAUUGCACAAGGGGCGAAAGCCUGAUGCAGCAAUGCCGCGUGUAUGAAGAAGGCCCUAGGGUUGUAAAGUACUUUCAGGCGGGAGGCGUUACCGACAGAAGAAGCACCGGCUAACUCCGUGCCAGCAGCCGCGGUAAUUC
rnacentral:rRNA from 1 species